UAGGGAAUCUUCCACAAUGGACGCAAGUCUGAUGGAGCAACGCCGCGUGAGUGAAGAAGGUUUUCGGACCGUAAAGCUCUGUUGUUGGUGAAGAAGGAUAGAGGUAGUAACUGGCCUUUAUUUGACGGUAAUCAACCAGAAAGUCACGGCUAACUACGUGCCAGCAGCCGCGGUAAUACGUAGGUGGCAAGCGUUGUCCGGAUUUAUUGGGCGUAAAGCGAGCGCAGGCGGAAGAAUAAGUCUGAUGUGAAAGCCCUCGGCUUAACCGAGGAAUUGCAUCGGAAACUGUUUUCUUGAGUGCAGAAGAGGAGAGUAGAACUCCAUGUGUAGCGGUGGAAUGCGUAGAUAUAUGGAAGAAUACCAGUGGCGAAGGCGGCUCUCUGGUCCGCAACUGACGCUGAGGCUCGAAAGCAUGGGCAGCGAACAGGAUUAGAUACCCUGGUAGUCCAUGCCGUAAACGAUGAGUGCUAAGUGUUGGGAGGCUUCCGCCUCUCAGUGCUGCAGCUAACGCAUUAAGCACUCCGCCUGGGGGAGUACGACCGCAAGGUUGAAAC
rnacentral:rRNA from 1 species